CUCUCUUGAGUGGAUCCUGAGUACGACGGAGCACGUGAAAUUCCGUCGGAAUCUGGGAGGACCAUCUCCUAAGGCUAAAUACUCUCUAGUGACCGAUAGUGAACCAGUACCGUGAGGGAAAGGUGAAAAGUACCCCGGAAGGGGAGUGAAAGAGAACUUGAAACCGUGUGCUUACAAGUAGUCAGAGCCCGUUAAUGGGUGAUGGCGUGCCUUUUGUAGAAUGAACCGGCGAGUUACGAUCUGAUGCAAGGUUAAGCAGAAAAUGUGGAGCCGUAGCGAAAGCGAGUCUGAAUAGGGCGAAUGAGUAUUUGGUCGUAGACCCGAAACCAGGUGAUCUACCCUUGGUCAGGUUGAAGUUCAGGUAACACUGAAUGGAGGACCGAACCGACUUACGUUGAAAAGUGAGCGGAUGAACUGAGGGUAGCGGAGAAAUUCCAAUCGAACUUGGAGAUAGCUGGUUCUCUCCGAAAUAGCUUUAGGGCUAGCCUCAAGUGAUGAUUAUUGGAGGUAGAGCACUGUUUGGACGAGGGGCCCCUCUCGGGUUACCGAAUUCAGACAAACUCCGAAUGCCAAAUAAUUUAACUUGGGAGUCAGAAUGUGGGUGAUAAGGUCCAUAUUCGAAAGGGAAACAGCCCAGACCACCAGCUAAGGUCCCAAAAUAUAUGUUAAGUGGAAAAGGAUGUGGCGUUGCCCAGACAACUAGGAUGUUGGCUUAGAAGCAGCCAUCAUUUAAAGAGUGCGUAAUAGCUCACUAGUCGAGUGACACUGCGCCGAAAAUGUACCGGGGCUAAACAUAUUACCGAAGCUGUGGAUUGUCCUUUGGACAAUGGUAGGAGAGCGUUCUAAGGGCGUUGAAGCAUGAUCGCAAGGACAUGUGGAGCGCUUAGAAGUGAGAAUGCCGGUGUGAGUAGCGAAAGACGGGUGAGAAUCCCGUCCACCGAUUGACUAAGGUUUCCAGAGGAAGGCUCGUCCGCUCUGGGUUAGUCGGGUCCUAAGCUGAGGCCGACAGGCGUAGGCGAUGGAUAACAGGUUGAUAUUCCUGUACCACCAUUAUUCGUUUUAAGCGAUGGGGGGACGCAGUAGGAUAGGCGAAGCGUGCUGUUGGAGUGCACGUCCAAGCAGUGAGAUUGAGUGUUAGGCAAAUCCGGCACUCUUAAGAUUGAGCUGUGAUGGGGAGAGGAACUUGUUCCUCGAGUCGUUGAUUUCACACUGCCGAGAAAAGCCUCUAGCUAGAAUAACGGUGCCCGUACCGCAAACCGACACAGGUAGUCAAGAUGAGAAUUCUAAGGUGAGCGAGCGAACUCUCGUUAAGGAACUCGGCAAAAUGACCCCGUAACUUCGGGAGAAGGGGUGCUCUUUGAGGUUCACGCUUCGAAGAGCCGCAGUGAAUAGGCCCAAGCGACUGUUUAUCAAAAACACAGGUCUCUGCUAAACCGUAAGGUGACGUAUAGGGGCUGACGCCUGCCCGGUGCUGGAAGGUUAAGAGGAGUGGUUAGCGCAAGCGAAGCUACGAAUCGAAGCCCCAGUAAACGGCGGCCGUAACUAUAACGGUCCUAAGGUAGCGAAAUUCCUUGUCGGGUAAGUUCCGACCCGCACGAAAGGCGUAACGAUUUGGGCACUGUCUCAACGAGAGACUCGGUGAAAUCAUAGUACCGGUGAAGAUGCCGGUUACCCGCGACAGGACGGAAAGACCCCGUGGAGCUUUACUGUAGCCUGAUAUUGAAAUUCGGUACAGUUUGUACAGGAUAGGUAGGAGCCUUAGAAGCGUGAGCGCUAGCUUACGUGGAGGCAUUGGUGGGAUACUACCCUAAUUGUAUUGGAUUUCUAACCCGCAGCACUUAUCGUGCUGGGAGACAGUGUCAGGCGGGCAGUUUGACUGGGGCGGUCGCCUCCUAAAGAGUAACGGAGGCGCUCAAAGGUUCCCUCAGAAUGGUUGGAAAUCAUUCAUAGAGUGUAAAGGCAUAAGGGAGCUUGACUGCGAGACCUACAAGUCGAGCAGGGUCGAAAGACGGACUUAGUGAUCCGGUGGUUCCGCAUGGAAGGGCCAUCGCUCAACGGAUAAAAGCUACCCCGGGGAUAACAGGCUUAUCUCCCCCAAGAGUUCACAUCGACGGGGAGGUUUGGCACCUCGAUGUCGGCUCAUCGCAUCCUGGGGCUGUAGUCGGUC
rnacentral:rRNA from 1 species